AACAAUUGCUAUUUCUUUGUUUAUAUAGUUUAGGAUUUAUGUAUUGAUCAAUACACUUCAUUUUCAUCUUCUUCAUGUUCAAGUUUUUGCUGCGCCCCCGACACGAGAUCUAUUAUUUUGAUUAUACAUGUCAAUGAGUGGAAAAAGAUAUUUCUGAGAAACAGGGUGAUGCCCAAUUGAAAAAGGAGGGCGAGAAUAAGAAAGCAAAAACCAUCGUGACAUGGCACGACAUCGAAUACGAAGG